rnacentral:rRNA from 1 species
GACGAACGCUGGCGGCGUGCCUAACACAUGCAAGUCGAACGGGGGCUUAGGUCAACACUGAGUUAUUCCAAGUGAUCUGACAGAGCGGCAGCGUCAAGCGCCCAACCGCAAAAGAAGCGGGGGGGACGAAAAAAGACGCAGAGGCGCUUCACGCAUAUAAAAGCGUGAGUAAGAUAGAAUGGUUGGAUAGGAAUGAUUGAGUGUUGAUCUAAGACCUAGUGGCGGACGGGUGAGUAACGCGUGAGUAACCUGCCCUUAGGAGGGGAAUAACACACCGAAAGGUGUGCUAAUACCGCAUAAUAUAUGACUGCCGCAUGGCAGACAUAUCAAAGAUUUUAUCGCCUAAGGAUGGACUCGCGUCUGAUUAGCUAGUUGGUGAGGUAACGGCUCACCAAGGCGACGAUCAGUAGCCGAACUGAGAGGUUGAUCGGCCACAUUGGGACUGAGACACGGCCCAGACUCCUA